AGAGUUUGAUCCUGGCUCAGGAUGAACGCUAGCGGCGUGCCUAAUGCAUGCAAGUCGAACGGGAUCCUUUGGAUUCGUCUAAAGGUGAGAGUGGCGAACGGGUGAGCAACACGUUGGUGACCUACCCCAGAGAGGGGGAUAACUAUUGGAAACGAUAGCUAAUACCCCAGAUGUCCUUACUGUUAGAGAGUAAUGACUAAAGCUCCGGCGCUCUGGGAGGGGCCUGCGGCCCAUCAGCUAGUUGGUAGGGUAAUGGCCUACCAAGGCAAAGACGGGUAGGGGGCGUGAGAGCGUGACCCCCCACACUGGUACUGACACACGGACCAGAUACCUACGGGUAGCAGCAGCAAGGAAUAUUGCCCAAUGGACGAAAGUCUGAGGCAGCAACGCCGCGUGGAGGAAGAAGGCCUUCGGGUUGUAAACUCCUUUUCUGGGGGAAGAGAAAGGACGGUACCCCAGGAAUAAGUCUCGGCUAACUACGUGCCAGCAGCCGCGGUAAAACGUAGGAGGCGAGCGUUAUCCGGAUUUACUGGGCGUAAA
rnacentral:rRNA from 1 species